rnacentral:rRNA from 1 species
CCUACGGGAGGCAGCAGUGAGGAAUAUUGGUCAAUGGACGCAAGUCUGAACCAGCCAUGCCGCGUGCAGGAAGACGGCUCUAUGAGUUGUAAACUGCUUUUGUACGAGGGUAAACGCAGAUACGCGUAUCUGUCUGCAAGUAUCGUACGAAUAAGGAUCGGCUAACUCCGUGCCAGCAGCCGCGGUAAUACGGAGGAUUCAAGCGUUAUCCGGAUUUAUUGGGUUUAAAGGGUGCGUAGGCGGUCGGAUAAGUUAGAGGUGAAAUCCCGGGGCUCAACUUCGGAAUUGCCUCUGAUACUGUUCGGCUAGAGAGUAGUUGCGGUAGGCGGAAUGUAUGGUGUAGCGGUGAAAUGCUUAGAGAUCAUACAGAACACCGAUUGCGAAGGCAGCUUACCAAGCUACUUCUGACGUUGAGGCACGAAAGCGUGGGGAGCAAACAGGAUUAGAUACCCCUGUAGUC